rnacentral:tRNA from 1 species
GCCUUCAUUGUGUGAUUGGAAAACAUGUCCGGCUAGCAAUCGGAAGGUCCGAAGUUCGAAUCCCGGCGAAAGCC